UGGGGAAUAUUGGACAAUGGGCGAAAGCCUGAUCCAGCAAUGCCGCGUGAGUGAUGAAGGCCUUAGGGUUGUAAAGCUCUUUUACCCGGGAUGAUAAUGACAGUACCGGGAGAAUAAGCUCCGGCUAACUCCGUGCCAGCAGCCGCGGUAAUACGGAGGGAGCUAGCGUUGUUCGGAAUUACUGGGCGUAAAGCGCACGUAGGCGGCUUUGUAAGUUAGAGGUGAAAGCCUGGAGCUCAACUCCAGAACUGCCUUUAAGACUGCAUCGCUUGAAUCCAGGAGAGGUGAGUGGAAUUCCGAGUGUAGAGGUGAAAUUCGUAGAUAUUCGGAAGAACACCAGUGGCGAAGGCGGCUCACUGGACUGGUAUUGACGCUGAGGUGCGAAAGCGUGGGGAGCAAACA
rnacentral:rRNA from 3 species